UCUUAAAAUUACCAGCUUGUCUGGUUGGAAAUUUCUGAAGAUGUAGAAAUCCUAUAAGACCAGGUUGUAGCUCCAGUGUUUGGAGAGAAAGCUAUACUCGAGAAUUCUUUCUAUUACGACAAUAGGGAUGCCAUUGAUUAAGGAAAUUAGUUUUUAAAACCUAGUUUUGAACAUACAAAUAUCUUAUAUUUCCUUCGAAACAAACAAGGAAUCAGCGGGGUUGAUUUUAAAAAUUAUUAAAUAAAAAAUGUAGAUAAUUCAUUUUAAAUAAUUCAAAAAAUUUCGAGCUAUCCCAGAAGAACAGAUAAUUAAAAUAAUUCCGAAGAAGUGGGAUUCUAUUUUAAGAUAGUUAAGUAUUUCUCUGUCAACAUAAGAACAGUUUGGUAAGUAUGUUCGGAAGUUAAUAUUCCGUUUACUAAUACGAUGGAAACGUGUCAGUCUCAUGACGCCGGCAAUUUUUACAAAGUGACCCGUCCAGGCUGAGGAAUAAAUAUAAAUAUGUUCCUCGG
rnacentral:rRNA from 1 species